rnacentral:rRNA from 1 species
UACGAAGGGGGCUAGCGUUGCUCGGAAUCUCUGGGCGUAAAGGGUGCGUAGGCGGGUCUUUAAGUCAGGGGUGAAAUCCUGGAGCUCAACUCCAGAACUGCCUUUGAUACUGAAGAUCUUGAGUUCGGGAGAGGUGAGUGGAACUGCGAGUGUAGAGGUGAAAUUCGUAGAUAUUCGCUAGAACACCAGUGGCGAAGGCGGCUCACUGGCCCGAUACUGACGCUGAGGCACGAAAGCGUGGGGAGCAAACAGG